rnacentral:rRNA from 1 species
UGUAGUCAUAUGCUUGUCUCAAAGAUUAAGCCAUGCAUGUCUAAGUAUAAGCAAUCUAUACAGUGAAACUGCGAAUGGCUCAUUAAAUCAGUUAUCGUUUAUUUGAUAGUACCUUACUACUUGGAUAACCGUGGUAAUUCUAGAGCUAAUACAUGCUAAAAACCUCGACUUCGGAAGGGGUGUAUUUAUUAGAUAAAAAACCAAUGCCCUUCGGGGCUCCUUGGUGAUUCAUGAUAACUUAACGAAUCGCAUGGCCUUGUGCCGGCGAUGGUUCAUUCAAAUUUCCGCCCUAUCAACUUUCGAUGGUAGGAUAGUGGCCUACCAUGGUUUCAACGGGUAACGGGGAAUUAGGGUUCUAUUCCGGAGAGGGAGCCUGAGAAACGGCUACCACAUCCAAGGAAGGCAGCAGGCGCGCAAAUUACCCAAUCCCGACACGGGGAGGUAGUGACAAUAAAUACUGAUACAGGGCUCUUUUGGGUCUUGUAAUUGGAAUGAGUACAAUUUAAAUCCCUUAACGAGGAACAAUUGGAGGGCAAGUCUGGAAUCG